ACAAUGACGACCCUUACUCUGCUGUGGAGGUAAUUCCACCUUUUAAUUUUGCUCGUUGGGGUAUGCGGCAACUAGCUGAUCGCUUUCAAGAUAAAUCGAAUCAAAUUGU
rnacentral:ribozyme from 1 species